CUUAACAAGUUGCCUCAUGUCAUUCUGAUCAUUUUUAAGGCUUAAAAGCUACUGCUAUGUGUUGGGAUGGGUGAUCAAGUUUGGCUGGAACUUGCCAUGUCUUUAAGCUGAGGAACAAGUGGAUCAGAGAGCAGCUGACCUCACAGAGCCAUGGUUCAGUGACUCAUUCAGACAUGUCCUUGAGCAGUUGUUCUGGAUUUCCUCGAUGGUAGCAAGGUGAACUCAUGAGGUACUGGUCCAGAAAAGAACACUAGUGACUAUGCCCAUUGUCACUGCUCAGAAGUGUUCUGGAAUCUUGUUUCCCGCCCCGAAAUAAGUUGAUGGUAGUUAUGGCAUGGGCUGAUCUACCCAGUCAGCAAGGCCAGAUUGCAGAGAAACUCAGAGUCUAGGAAAAUGAAUGUCUAGUAACAUUCCUCAAAUAGUCCUACCAGAAGACACAAAGAUGAUGCAUCCGGAUGAAGAAUAUAUCACUGAGAUUAAUGGCCCUGGGUUGCAGCCAAAAGCGUCUCAGAGGGUAUGAUGCAUUCCUGACUGUGGUCGGCUUUCCAUGGGUGAAACAGAAAAGUCUUCAAAUAUCCUCACCAACUGCUUUCCUAGAUUUUUCAGCCAGUUACUUGACCAUAUUAGGAAAAGAAAGGUGAGCUUGGGCUUCAGGACAUAGAAAACAACAUUAGUUAUGCUGGAAAGUAUCACCAAAGAAGUGCAGCUCAGACAAGCUGUAUUCUAUUUUGUUCUUUUGAACAUAAACACCUAUAAAGGGACCAAAAGAAAUCUAAAUGAUCAACGGGAGCAAUCCUGAAUAAGCAACAACAAUCAUUAUUGCCAAGUGAUUGUCUC
rnacentral:lncRNA from 1 species